rnacentral:rRNA from 1 species
GACGAACGCUGGCGGCGUGCUUAACACAUGCAAGUCGAACGGAAAGGCCCUGCUUGCAGGGUACUCGAGUGGCGAACGGGUGAGUAACACGUGGGUGAACUGCCCUGCACUUCGGGAUAAGCCUGGGAAACUGGGUCUAAUACCGGAUAGGAGCCAUUUUUAGUGGGAUGGUUGGAAAGUUUUUUCGGUGUAGGAUGAGCUCGCGGCCUAUCAGCUGGUUGGGGGGGUAAUGGCCUACCAAGGCGGCGACGGGUAGCCGGCCUGAGGGGGUGGACGGCCACACUGGGACUGAGGGACGGCCCAGACUCCUACGGGAGGCAGCAGUGGGGAAUAUUGCACAAUGGGCGCCAGCCUGAUGCAGCGACGCCGCGUGGGGGAGGACGGCCUUCGGGUUGUAAACACCUUUCGCUAGGGACGAAGCUUUUUGUGACGGUACCUAGAGAAGAAGCACCGGCUAACUACGUG